rnacentral:pre_miRNA from 2 species
UAUAUACUUUCUUCGUAUAAAAUUACUUGUCACAAAAAUGAAUGUAUCUAGAUAUAUUUUUAGCUCUAGAUACAUCCGUUUCUAUCAAUUUCCGCGACUAGUAAUUCAGGAUGAAGGGAGUAUUAC